AGUGAACGCUGGCGGUAGGCCUAACGCAUGCAAGUCUAACGGCAGCACAGGAGAGCUUGCUCUCUGGGUGGCGAGUGGCGGACGGGUGAGGAAUACAUCGGAAUCUACUCUGUCGUGGGGGAUAACGUAGGGAAACUUACGCUAAUACCGCAUACGACCUACGGGUGAAAGCAGGGGACCUUCGGGCCUUGCGCGAUUGAAUGAGCCGAUGUCGGAUUAGCUAGUUGGCGGGGUAAAGGCCCACCAAGGCGACGAUCCGUAGCUGGUCUGAGAGGAUGAUCAGCCACACUGGAACUAAGACACGGUCCAGACUCCUACGGGAGUCAGCAGUGGGGAAUAUUGGACAAUGGGCGCAAGCCUGAUCCAGCCAUACCGCGUGGGUGAAGAAGGCCUUCGGGUUGUAAAGCCCUUUUGUUGGGAAAGAAAUCCAGCUGGCUAAUACCCGGUUGGGAUGACGGUACCCAAAGAAUAAGCACCGGCUAACUUCGUGCCAGCCGCCGCAGUAA
rnacentral:rRNA from 1 species